GCCGAUUUUUUAACCGCUUUUCAGGACAGGGGAUUGAAAAUCCCCGUGUCCUUGGUUCGAUUCCGAGUCCGGGCACCA
rnacentral:tRNA from 2 species